GGAGGUCUCAAGGUUGGCAAGUAUGUUCAUUAGUAUCGCGGUACUAUACUAAUACCGGUAUACCGUACAACCCUAUAUGAACGUGGCUUAUCAUCACUCUAAGGGAUGCUGCUUGUUGGGAAAGACUUCAGGGAGAAUGAGCUGAUGUUAUUUCCUCAGAAGUUCCCUUUCAACACGACUCGAUCUGUCUCCAAGUGAAGUAGCAGCAGCGAGGUGCGCUCUUUGGAGUGAAGGUCAUGACCCCAAAAAGAAGGAGACAGCAGGCCACAGGCAAGUAAAUGAGAAUUGAAUGUCCAAAUGUGUCACACAAAAAGAGUUCGGAAAGAUCAAAGCACAAAAAAAGGCACUGGAAAAGCUGUGUUUCAAAAUAAAGGCAAGCUGGAUUGGAGAGCGAACAAACAAAACUCAAUUUAAAAGGGAAAAAAUUCUCAAAGUCCACAUAAAGUGCGCGCUCCUCCCACGGACAAACAGACACCAAAGUAUUGCAAUGAUCCCA